UACGGGGGGGGGCAAGCGUUGUUCGGAAUUACUGGGCGUAAAGGGCUCGUAGGUGGCCAACUAAGUCAGACGUGAAAUCCCUCAGCUUAACUGGGGAACUGCGUCUGAUACUGGAUGGCUUGAGUCCGGGAGAGGUGAGUGGAACUGCGAGUGUAGAGGUGAAAUUCGUAGAUAUUCGCAAAGAACACCAGUGGCGAAGGCGGCUCACUGGCCCGGUACUGACGCUGAGGUGCGAAAAGCGUGGGGGGCAAACAGG
rnacentral:rRNA from 1 species